CCAGUUUAUUUUCCCUCUCAGGGCUGGAACGCAAUGUUACAGCCCACCUUAUAAAUUACUAAAACCCGAGUUAUUCCAGAUUGACGACUUGACACAGAUAUUCAGCAGACAACCUAAAUAAGGGACUCCCACUCUCCGAACCAGUAGAGAUCCAAUCACUGCCUCCAGGUUACCCCUUCAUCCGGUAUUAGCAGUUCCUCCACCACCACCAGGUUGAUCAAGAUUAGUAAACUCAAGGAAGAUGAUACCAGAUCAGUCCCGAACUUCGCCUCAACAUCAUACCCUGCCUAGUGUCGAUAAAGAGGAUUCACAAACAAACGAGAUUCAUUUACAAAUAUUUAUUAUCACUUUCUACAA